GACGAACGCUGGCGGCGUGCCUAAUACAUGCAAGUCGAGCGGAGUAAAAAGCGUGCUUGCACGGUUUUUAUUUAGCGGCGAACGGGUGAGUAACACGUAGGUAACCUGGCCAUAAGACAGGGAUAACGCACGGAAACGUGAGCUAAAACCAGAUAGGCAUUUUCCACGCAUGAGGGAGACGAGAAAGGCGGAGCAAUCUGCCGCUUAUGGAUGGACCUGCGUCGCAUUAGCUAGUUGGAGUGGUAAAGGCACACCAAGGCGACGAUGCGUAGCCGACCUGAGAGGGUGAGCGGCCACACUGGGACUGAGACACGGGCCCAGACUCCUACGGGAGGCAGCAGUAGGGAAUCUUCCGCAAUGGACGAAAGUCUGACGGAGC
rnacentral:rRNA from 1 species